rnacentral:misc_RNA from 1 species
CACGCAUGUAGGCAGAUUUGUUGGUUGUGAAUCGCAACCAGUGGCCUUAAUGGCAGGA